AACAGACAGCUAGACAGGUUUAGGUCCAGUGUAAUUCAACAGACAGCUAGACAGGUUUAGGUCCAGUGUAAUUCAACAGACAGCUAGACAGGUUUAGGUCCAGUGUAAUUCAACAGACAGCUAGACAGGUUUUGGUCCAGUGUAAUUCAACAGACAGCUAGACAGGUUUAGGUCCAGUGUAAUUCAACACACAGCUAGAAAGGUUUAGGUCCAGUGUAAUUCAACACACAGCUAGACAGGUUUUGGUCCAGUGUAAUUCAACAGACAGCUAGACAGGUUUAGGUCCAGUGUAAUUCAACACACAGCUAGACAGGUUUUGGUCCAGUGUAAUUCAACACACAGCUAGACAGGUUUUGGUCCAGUGUAAUUCAACAGACAGCUAGACAGGUUUAGGUCCAGUGUAAUUCAACACACAGCUAGACAGGUUUUGGUCUAGUGUAAUUCAACAGACAGCUAGACAGGUUUUGGUCUAGUGUAAUGACAUUAACUAAAUAAAACAUGUCUUCACAAUACAAUGUUUAUAAUACAUCCAGCAUAUUGAUUAUUACUUUUUCUACACCAAUGACAUAAGAUUUGACUAAUUACCAGACAGUCCCCACAACCUAGUUGAUACUGACCUUAACCCAACACCUAGCAACCUCAUAACCUGGUCUAUACUGAGUUUAUACUGUAGUGACCUUAACCCAACACCUAGCAACCUCAUAACCUGGUCUAUACUGAGUUUAUACUGUAGUGACCUUAACCCAACACCUAGCAAUUUCAUAACCUGGUCUAUACUGAGUUUAUACUGUAGUGACCUUAACCCAACACCUAGCAACCUCAUAACCUGGUCUAUACUGAGUUUAUACUGUAGUGACCUUAACCCAACACCUAGCAACCUCAUAACCUGGUCUAUACUGAAGUGACCUUAACCCAACACCUAGCAACCUCAUAACCUGGUCUAUACUGAGUUUAUACUGUAGUGACCUUAACCCAACACCUAGCAACCUCAUAACCUGGUCUAUACUGAGUUUAUACUGUAGUGGCCUUAACCCAACACCUAGCAACCUCAUAACCUGGUCUAUACUGAGUUAAUACUGUAGUGACCUUAACCCAACACCUAGCAACCUCAUAACCUGGUCUAUACUGAGUUAAUACUGUAGUUACCUUAACCCAACACCUAGCAACUUCAUAACCUGGUCUAUACUGAAGUGACCUUAACCCAACACCUAGCAACCUCAUAACCUGGUCUAUACUGAGUUUAUACUGUAGUGACCUUAACCCAACACCUAGCAACCUCAUAACCU
rnacentral:lncRNA from 1 species